rnacentral:rRNA from 1 species
AAUAUUGGACAAUGGGGGCAACCCUGAUCCAGCCAUGCCGCGUGUGUGAAGAAGGCCUUAGGGUCGUAAAGCUCUGUUAUAAGGGACGAAGGUUACCAUGGUUAAUACCCGUGGUAAGUGACGGUACCUUAUGAGUAAGCCUCGGCUAACUACGUGCCAGCAGCCGCGGUAAUACGUAGGUGGCAAGCGUUGUCCGGAUUUAUUGGGCGUAAAGCGCGCGCAGGCGGUCUUUUAAGUCUGAUGUGAAAUCUUACAGCUUAACUGUAAGCGGUCAUUGGAAACUGGGAGACUUGAGUGCAGAAGAGGAGAGUGGAAUUCCAUGUGUAGCGGUGAAAUGCGUAGAGAUAUGGAGGAACACCAGUGGCGAAGGCGACUCUCUGGUCUGUAACUGACGCUGAGGCGCGAAAGCGUGGGGAUCAAACA